GCAAGCGUUGUCCGGAUUUAUUGGGCGUAAAGAGCGUGUAGGCGGCCAGGGAGGUCCGUUGUGAAAACUCGAGGCUCAACCUCGAGACGCCGAUGGAAACCCCCUGGCUAGAGUCCGGAAGAGGAGAGUGGAAUUCCUGGUGUAGCGGUGAAAUGCGCAGAUAUCAGGAAGAACACCCGUGGCUAAGGCGGCUCUCUAGUACGGUACUGACGCUGAGACGCGAAAGCGUGGGGAGCGAACAGG
rnacentral:rRNA from 1 species